UUGAUAUGCAGCAUUUCCAGUUUGUAAAUGAAAGUGAAAGUAUUUUAAUGUUGGACUCUCCAUUUUGUCAAGAAGCACGGAUAAGAUUCUGUAUUGCAAGGGGCCCCAGCAUCAGUUAUCUAGAUCGGCACAAAAAUGGAACGAGCUGCUUCUGAAGUGACCCCCCCUGUGGAGUGUAAAACAAAGAGAGCUGAGAGUGUCCUGAUGGAGAGAGCAGGCUCACCUGUACCCAGCUGUGUUUCCAUGAAGAGUGACAGGUCAAUGGACCGACCAGUCGUAUUCAGAGAGGGACGUUUUCCUACAGAUCAAAGGUAAAUAU